AGCUUUUACUAUACGGACCUUUGUUGGCAAGCUGAUGUCUCUACUUUUUAACCUACGUAGACAGCAUCUUAAAAAGUAGAGACAUCACCUUGCCAACAAAGGUCCAUAUAGUAAAAGCU